rnacentral:rRNA from 1 species
AUUGAACGCUGGCGGCAUGCCUUACACAUGCAAGUCGAACGGCAGCGGACCUUCGGGUGCCGGCGAGUGGCGAACGGGUGAGUAAUAUAUCAGAACGUACCUUUCAGUGGGGAGUAACGUAGCGAAAGUUACGCUAAUACCGCAUAUUCUGUGAGCAGGAAAGCAGGGGAUCGCAAGACCUUGCGCUGAUUGAGCGGCCGAUAUCAGAUUAGCUAGUUGGUGAGGUAAAGGCUCACCAAGGCGACGAUCUGUAGCGGGUCUGAGAGGAUGAUCCGCCACACUGGAACUGAGACACGGUCCAGACUCCUACGGGAGGCAGCAGUGGGGGAAUUUUUGGACAAUGGGCGGC